rnacentral:lncRNA from 1 species
UGUAUUUUUUUUUGUAGUGUAGCAUUCCACAUCAAAAAUUAUAUUUUUAUCAUUUACCUACUCGAGAACGAGCAGGAAUUAAGCUUGGGGAUACUGAUACGUCUCCGUCGUAUCUAUAAUUUUUGAUUGUUCCAUGCCAAUAUUAUACAACUUUCAUAUACUUUCGGCAACUUUUUAUACUAUUUUUGGGACUAACAUAUUGAUCCAGUGCCCAGUGCCAGUUCCUGUUUGUUGGAUGUUUUUUUCGCAGAAAAUCCAUAUCAAACGGAGUCCAAACGGGAUAAAAACUGACGGAGAUUUUUUUGGAAUAUAUGUGAAUUUUGGGAAGUGGAGUCAACGCGAGACGAUGCUCGAGGGGCCCACAAGGCAGGGGGCAUGCCCCAGGGGGUGGGUGCGCCCCUGACCCUCGUGGCCACCGUGUAAGGCAGUUGGUGUCCUUAUUUUUCCGCAAGAAAGCCAAUAUCCGGAUGGAAAUCGUGUUCACAUUUUAGCCCAAUCGGAGUUAAGGAUCUCCGGGAAUAUAAGAAACGGUGAAAGGGAAGAAUGAGUGAGCGCAGAAACAGAGAGAGACAGAGAGACAGAUCCAAUCUCGGAGGGGCUCUCGCCCCUCCACUGCCAUGGAGGCCAUGGACCAGAGGGCGAACCCUUCUCCCAUCUAGGGAGAAGGUCAAGGAAGAAGAAGAAGAAGAAGGGGCCCCUCUCCCCCUCUCUCCCGGUGGUGCCGGAACGCCGCCGGGGCCAUCAUCAUCACCGCAAUCUACACCAAUACCUCUGUCAUCUUCACCAACAUCUCCAUCACCUUCCCCCAUCUAUCUACAGCGGUCCACUCUCCCGCAACUCGUUGUACCUUCUACUUGAACAUGGUGCUUUAUGCUUCAUAUUAUUAUCCAAUGGUGUGUUGCCAUCCUAUGAUGUCUGAGUAGAUUUUCGUUGUCCCAUCGGUAAUUGGUGAAUUGCUAUGAUUGAUUUAAUUUGCUUGUGGUUACGUUGCUGUUCUUUGGUGCCCAUCAUAUGAGCGCGCGCAUGGAUCACACAUAGGGCUGGUUGUAUGUUGAUAGGACUGUGUAUUGGAGGGCAAGAGUGACAGAAGCUUCAACCUAGUAUAGAAACUGAUGCAUACGGGAUUGAAGGGGGACCAAUAUAUCUUAAUGCUAUGGUUGGGUUUUACCUUAAUGAACGUUAGUAGUUGCGGAUGCUUGCUAAUAGUUCCAAUCAUUAGUGCAUAGAAUUCCAAGACAGGGAUGACAUGCUAGCAGUGGCCUCUCCUACAUAAAACUUGCUAUCGGUCUAGUAAAGUAGUCAAUUGCUUAGGGACAAUUACUCAACUCCUACCACCACUUUUCUACACUCGCUAUACUAAAUUUAUUUCUUCUUUACCUAAAACAGCCCCUAGUUUUUAUUCACACGCUCUUUAUUAUCUUGCAAACCUAUACAAAAACACCUACAAAGUACUUCUAGUUUCAUACUUGUUCUAGGUAAAGCGAACGUUAAGCGUACGUAGAGUUGUAUCGGUGGUCGAUAGAACUUGAGGGAAUAUUUGUUCUACCUUUAGCUCCUCGUUGGGUUCGACACUCUUACUUAUCGAAAGAGGCUACAAUUAAUCCCCUAUACUUGUGGGUUAUCAGUAAAAUUACCUCAUCAAGUUCUACCUUCCUCCCACUCACUUCUUUCGAUAGAAACUCCUUCUCUAGAAAAUAUCUAUUCUUAGCAACGAAUAUCUUGCCUUCGGAUCUAUGAUAGAAGGUGUACCCAACAGUUUCUUUUGGGUAUCCUAUGCAGAUGCACUUCUCCGAUUUGGGUUCGAGCUUAUUAGUUUGAAACUUUUUCACAUAAGCAUCGCAGCCCCAAACUUUAAGAAACGACGGCUUAGGUUUCUUGCUAAACCACAGUUCAUAUGGUGUCGUCUCAAUAGAUUUUUAGACGGUGCGUUAUUUAACGUGAAUGCAACUGUCUCUAAUGCAUAACCCCAAAAUGAUAGUGGUAAAUUGGUAAGAGACAUCAUAAAUCGCACCAUAUCUAAUAAAGUACGGUUACGACGUUUGGACACACCAUUACGCUGUGGUGUUCCAGGUGGCAUGAGUCGACAUUGUUUCAACUGAAGGCCAAACUCAUAACUCAAAUAUUCCGUCUCCGCGAUCAGAUCGUAGAAACUUUAUUUUCUUGUUACGAUGAUUCUCCACUUCACUCCGAAACUCUUUGAACUUUUCAAACGUUUCAUACUUGUGUUUCAUUAAGUAGAUAUACUCAUAUCUGCUCAAAUCAUCUGUGAAGGUCAGAAAAUAACGAUACCCGCCGCGAGCCUCAACACUCAUUGGAUCGCAUACAUCAGUAUGUAUUAUUUCUAAUAAGUCUGUUGCUCGCUCCAUUGUUCCAGAGAACGGAGUCUUAGUCAUCUUGCCCAUGAGGCAUGGUUCGCAAGCAUCAAGUGAUUCCAAAAGUCCAUCAGCAUGGAGUUUCUUCAUGCACUUUACACCAAUAUGACCUAAACGGCAGUGCCACAAAUAUGUUGCACUAUCAUUAUUAACUUUGCUUCUUUUGGCUUCAAUAUUAUGAAUAUGUGUAUCACUACGAUCGAGAUUUAAUAAACCAUUCACCUUGGGUGUAUGACCACAGUAGAUCGUAUUCAUGUAAACAGAAUAACAAUUAUUUUUUGACUUAAAUGAAUAACCGUAUUGCAAUAAACAUGAUCCAGUCAUAUUAUGCUCAACACAAACACCAAAUAACAUUUAUUUUAGGUUCAACACUAAUCCCAAAGGUAAAGGGAGCGUGCGAUGGUGAUCUUAUCAACCUUGGAAUCACUUCCAACACACAUCGUCACCUUGCUCUUAACUAGUCUUUGUUCAUUUUGUAACUCCUGUUUCAAGUUACUAAUCAUAGCGACUGAACCAGUAUCAAAUACCCAGGGGUUACUAUGAACACUAGUAAAGUACACAUUAAUAACAUGUAUAUCAUAUAUACUUUUGUUCACUUUGCCAUCCUUCUUAUCCGCCAAAUAUUUGGAACAGUUUCACUUCCAGUGACCAUUUCCUUUGCAGUAGAAGCACUCAGUUUCAGGCUUGGGUCUAGCUUUGGGCUUCUUCAUGGGAGUGACAACUCGCUUGUCAUUCUUCUUGAAAUUCCCUUUCUUUCCCUUGUCCUUUUACUUGAAACUAGUGGUCUUGUCAACCAUCAACACUUGAUGCUUUUUCUUGAUUUCUACCUUCGCCAAUUUCAACAUCGCGAAGAGCUUGGGAAUCGUUUCCGUUAUAACUUGCAUAUUAUAGUUCAUCACGAAGUUCUAUUAACUUGGUGAUAGUGACUAGAGAACUCUGUCAAUCACUAUCUUAUCUGGAAGAUUAACUUCCACUUGAUUCAAGUGAUUGUAGUACUCAGACAUUUUGAGCACAUGCUCACUAGGUGAGCUAUUCUCCUCCAUCUUGUAGGCAAAGUACAUGUCAGAGGUCUCAUACCUCUUAACACAGGCAUGAGUCUGAAAUACCAAUUUCAGCUCUUGGAACAUCUCAUAUGCUCCAUGGCAUUCAAAACGUUUUUGAAGUCCCGGUUCUAAGCCUUAAAGUAUGGCGCACUAAACUAUCAAGUAGUCAUCAUACCGAGCUUGUCAAACGUUCAUAACGUCUGCAUAUGCUCCUGCAAAAGUCCAUCACCCAACGGUGCAUCAAGGACAUAGUUUUCUCUAGGAACAUAUCAUAAAUAAAACGGGAAGCUAUACGCGAGCAAUUGAUCUACAACAUAGAUAUGUAAAUACUAUCAGGACUAAGUUCAUGAUAAAUUCAAGUUCAAUUAAUCAUAUUACUUAAGAACUCCCACUUAGAUAGACAUCCCUCUAAUCAUCUAAGUGAUCACGUGAUCCAUAACAACUAAACCAUGUCCGAUCAUCACGUGAGAUGGAGUAGUUUUCAAUGGUGAACAUCACUAUGUUGAUCAUAUCUACUAUAUGAUUCACGCUCGACCUUUCGGUCUCAGUGUUCCGAGGCCAUAUCUGCAUAUGCUAGGCUUGUCAAGUUUAACCCGAGUAUUCUGCAUGUGCAAAACUGGCUUGCACCCAUUGUAUGUGAAUGUAGAGCUUAUCACACCCGAUCAUCAUGUGGUGUCUCGGCACGACGAACUGUAGCAACGGUGCAUACUCUGGAAGAACACUUAUACCUUGAAAUUCAGUGAGAAAUCAUCUUAUAAUGCUACUGUCGUACUAAGCAAAAUAAGAUGCAUAAAGGAUAAACAUCACAUGCAAUCAAUAUAAGUGAUAUGAUAUGGCCAUCAUCAUCUCGUGCCUUUGAUCUCCAUCUCCAAAGCAUCGUCAUGAUCACCAUCGUCACCGGCUUGACACCUUUAUCUCCAUCGUAGCAUCGUUGUCGUCUCGCCAACUAUUGCUUCCACGACUAUCGCUACCGCUUAGUGAUAAAGUAAAGCAAUUACAUGGCAUUUGCAUUUCAUACAAUAAAGCGACAACCAUAUGGCUCCUGCCAGUUGCCGAUAAUUGUGUUACAAAACAUGAUCAUCUCAUACAACAAUUUAUAUAAUCACAUCUUGACCAUAUCACAUCACAACAUGUCCUUCAAAAACAAGUUAGACAUCCUCUACUUUGUUGUUCCAAGUUUUACGUGGCUGCUACGGGCUUAGCAAGAACUGUUCUUACCUACGCAUCAAAAACCACAACGCGGUAUAGUGAUUGCUUUUUAAUCUUUAGAAAGAACUCUGUCCAUUGAAUCCGAUUCAACUAAAGUUGGAGAAACUGACACCCGCCAGCCACCUGUGAGCAAAGCACGUCGGUAGAACCAGUCUCAUGAACGCGGUCAUGUAAUGUCGGUCCGGGCCGCUUCAUCCAGCAAUACCGUCGAAUCAAGAAACAACCAGUGACGGCAAGCAAUAUGUAUAUACCCACGCCCACAACUCCUUUGUGUUCUACUCGUGCAUAUAACAUCUACGCAUAAACCUGGCUCGGAUGCCACUGUUGGGAAACAUAGUAUUUCAAAAUUUCCCUACGAUCACGCAAGAUCUAUCUAGGAGAAGCAUAGCAACGAGCGGGGAGAGUGUGUCCACAUACCCUCGUAGACCGAAAGCGGAAGCGUUAAGUAACGCGGUUGAUGUAGUCGAAUGUCUUCGCGAUCCAACCUAUCAAGUACCGAACGCAUGACACCUCCACGAUGUACACACGUUCAGAUCGGUGACAUCCCUCGUACUCUUGAUCCAGCUAAGGCCGAGGGAGAGUUUCGUCAGCACGACAGCGUGGUGACGGUGAUGAUGAAUUUACCGACGCAGGGCUUCGCCUAAGCACUACGACGAUUUGACCGAGGUGGAAAACUGUGGAGGGGGGCACCACACACGGCUAAGAAAAUUUUUGGAGUGCCUUUGGGGUGCCCCCCUGCCCACGUAUAUAAAGGAGGGGGAAGAGGAGGCCUGCCUAAGAGGGGCGCACCUAUAGGGGGAGUCCAACUAGGAUUCCCAAUCCUAGUUGGGUCCCCUUCCAUUUCCAAGAGGGGAGAGAAGGAAGGAGUAGGAGAGGGAGAAGGAAAUAGAGGGGGGCACCGCCCCCUCCCUAGUCCAAUUUAGACUUGCCAUGGGGGGCGCAUGGCCACCCCUUGAGGCCCUUCUCUCCUUUCCCGUAUGGCCCACUACUUCCCCCGACGAAUUCCCAUAACUCUCCGAUACUCUGAAAAAUACCCGAAUCACUCGGAACCUUUCCGAUGUCCGAAUAUAGCCUUCCAAUAUAUCGAUCUUUACGUUUCGACCAUUUUGAGACUCCUCUUCAUGUCCGUGAUCUCAUCUGGGACUCCAAACAACCUUCGGUACAUGAAAUCACAUAACUCAUAAUACAAAUCGUCAUCGAACGUUAAGCGUGCGGACCCUACGGGUUGGAGAACUAUGUAGACACGACCGAGACACAUCUCCGGUCAAUAACCAAUAGCGGGACCUGGAUGCUCACAUUGGCUCCUACAUAUUUUACGAAGAUCUUUAUCGGUCAAACCGCAUAACAACAAAUGUUGUUCCCUUUGUCAUUAGUAUGUUACUUGCCCGAGAUUCGAUCAUUGGUAUCCUCAUACCUAGUUCAAUCUCGUUACUGGCAAGUCUAUUUACUCGUUCCGUAAUGCAUCAUCCCGUAACUAACUCUUUAGUCACAUUGCUUGCAAGGCUUAUAGUGAUGAGCAUUACCGAGAGGGCCCAGAGAUACCUCUCCGACAAUCGGUGUGACAAAUCCUAAUCUCGAUCUAUGCCAACUCAACAAACACCAUCGGAGACACCUGUAGAGCAUCCUUAUAAUCAUCUAGUUACGUUGUGACGUUUGAUAGCACACUAAGUGUUCCUCCGGUAUUUGGGAGUUGCAUGAUCUCAUAGUCAUAGGAACAUGUAUAAGUCAUGAAGAAAGCAAUAGCAACAAACUAAAUGAUCAUAGUGCUAAGCUAACGGAUGGGUCUACUCUAAUGAUGUGACCCCGUUCAUCAAAUGACAACACAUAUCCAUGGCUAGGAAACUUAACCAUCUUUGAUUAACGAGCUAAUCAAAUAGAGGCAUACUAGGGACACUCUGUUUGUCUAUGUAUUCACACAUGUACUAAGUUUCCGGUUAAUACAAUUCUAGCAUGAAUAGUAAACAUUUACCAUGAUAUAAGGAAAUAUAAAUAACAACGUUAUUAUUGCCUCUAGGGCAUAUUUCCUUCAAGAAUGGCCAUGGCAACCAGCGCCACGAUCUCCCGGCGGCAGCCAAAUGUUGGGGAACGUAGUAAUUUCAAAAAAUUUCCUACGCACACGCAAGAUCAUGGUGAUGCAUAGCAACAAGAUGGAAGAGUAUCGUCCACAUACCCUCGUAGACCGUAAGUGGAAGCGUUAUGAGAACGUGGUUGAUGUAGUUGUACGUCUUCACGUUCCGACCGAUCCAAGUACCAAACGUACGGCACCUCCGAGUUCAGCACAUGUUCAGCUCGAUGACGUCUCACUAACUCUGAUCCAGCAGAGCUUCACAGGAGAGUUCCCUCAACAUGACGGCGUGAUGAUAGUGAUGAUGUUGCUACCGACGCAGGGCUUCGCCUAAGCACCGCUAUGAUAUGAUCGAGGUGGAUUAUGGUGGAGGGGGCACCGCACACGGCUAAGGGAUCAAUGAUCAACUUGUGUGUCUUGGGGUGCCCCUGCCCCUGUAUAUAAAGGAGCAAGGGGGAGGUGCUACCUCCUGAGCACUACGUUGGUUUUCCCCGAAGAGGAAGGGAUGAUGCAGCAAAGUAGCGUAAGUAUUUCCCUCAGUUUUUGAGAACCAAGGUAUCAAUCUAGUAGGAGGCUACGCGUGAGUCCCUCGCACCUGCACAAAACAAAUAAAUCCUCGCAACCAAUGCAAAUAGGGGUUGUCAAUCCCUAUAGGGCCACUUACGAGAGUGAGAUCUGAUAGAUAUGAUAAGAUAAUAUUUUUGGUAUUUUUAUGAUAAAAUAUGCAAAGUAAAAUAAAGGCAAAGUAAAUAGCAAAGGAAAUGACUAAGUAGUAGGAUAUCAAUAUGAUAAAGAUAGACCCGGGGGCCAUAGGUUUCACUACUGGCUUCUCUCGAGAGCAUAAUUAUUCUACGGUGGGUGAACAAAUUACUGUUGAGCAAUUGACAGAAUUGAGCAUAGUUAUGAGAAUAUCUAGGUAUGAUCAUGUAUAUAGGCAUCACGUCCGAGACAAGUAGACCGACUACUGCCUGCAUCUACUACUAUUACCCCACUCAUCGGCCGCUAUCCAGCAUGCAUCUAGAGUAUUAAGUUAAAAACAGAGUAACACCUUUAGCAAGAUGACAUGAUGUAGAGGGAUAGACUCAUGCAAUAUGAAGAAAACCCCAUCUUGUUAUCCUCGAUGGCAACAAUACAAUACGUGCCUUGCUGCCCUUACUGUCAGCGGGAAAGGACACCGCAAGAUUGAACCCAAAGCUAAGCACUUCUCCCAUUGCAAGAAAGAUCAAUCUAGUAGGCCAAACCAAACUGAUAAUUCGAAGAGACUUGCAAAGAUAACCAAUCAUACAUAAAAGAAUUCAGAGAAGAUUCAAAUAUUAUUCAUAGAUAGACUUGAUCAUAAACCCACAAUUCAUCGGUCUCAACAAACACACCGCAAAAAGAAGAUUACAUCGAAUAGAUCUCCACAAGAGAGGGGGAGAACAUUGUAUUGAGAUCCAAAAAGAGAGAAGAAGCCAUCUAGCUACUAACUAUGGACCCGUAGGUCUGAGGUAAACUACUCACACUUCAUCUGAAGGGCUAUGGUGUUGAUGUAGAAGCCCUCCAUGAUCGAUGCCCCCUCCGGCGGAGCUCCGGAAUAGGCCCCAAGAUGGGAUCUCAUGGAUACAGAAAGUUACGGCGGUGGAAUUAGGGUUUUGGCUCCUCUUCUGAUUGUUUGGGGGUACGUGGAUAUAUAUAGGAGGAAGGAGUACGUCGGUGGAGCAACAGGGGGCCCACGAGGGUGGAGGGCGUGCCUAGGGUAGGCAGGCGCGCCCCCUACCUCGUGGCCUCCUGUUUUAUUUCUUGACGUAGGGUCCAAGUCUCCAGGGUCUUGUUCGUUGAGAAAAUCACGUUCCCGAAGGUUUCAUUCCGUUUGGACUCCGUUUGAUAUUCCUUUUCUUCGAAACCCUAAAAUAGGCAAAAAACAACAAUUCUAGGCUGGGCCUCUGGUUAAUAGGUUAGUCCCAAAAAUAGUAUAAAAGUGGAUAAUAAAGCCCAAUAAUGUCCAAAACAGUAGAUAAUAUAGCAUGAAGCAAUCAAAAAUUAUAGAUACGUUGGAGAUGUAUCAGGAGGCCGGCCGGCCCUUGCAGGGCGCGCUAGGAGGAGUCCUCCUCGUAGUAGGAGUAGGACUCCCCUUUCCUACUCCUAUUAGGAGGGGGAAAGGAAGGAGGAGAGGGAGAAGGAAGGAGAGGGAGGAAAGGAGGAAAGGGAAGCCGACCCCCUAGUCCAAUUCGAUUUGGGCUAGGGGGGCGCCCUGGCUUGUCCUGCCUCUUCUCUUCCACCACUUGGCCCAUGGCCCAAUACUUCUUCCUCCGUAUUCUCGUAACUCCCCGGUACUCCGAAAAAUACCCGAAUCACUCGGAACCUUUCCGAUGUCCGAAUAUAGUUGUCCAAUAUAUCGUUGGUUAAUCAGCCGCCGUGGAAGCCGUCCUCCACGCUGCGCCGUGCCGCCAGAAGAAGCAACCGAAGGAAAAUGGUGUGCAGCCGAUCCAAUCCGCCGCCAUGCGUUGGCCCUCCCAACCGCGCCAUGGCCGCGAGGCGCCAGGGCCUCGCCGUCCCAUUUACUGGUGGCGCGCGGGAUUUCCCGACGGCCUCCUAUGGGGGUGACAAGGGGAGAGAGAGGAUGGAGGAGGUUCAUAAGUGUCGUCGUCGCCUGAUCAUAUAUCUUAGAUUUUCACCAUGAAGAAAAUCCGUGCUCUAAAAAACAAUGCCUUCAACAAGUCUAGUGCGAAGCACAACCAAUUAAGACCAAACCUUGGGUUUUCACCUCAAAGCUAAGACUCCAUACUCCUGUGCUGCCGCCCCCACUUUGCUGAUGCCGCUGCUACAAGUCACGAAACACCAAGCAAACUCAUCAUCACCUGGAAGAUUAGAUCCACCAUUACUAGGCCUCAGACCUUAUUCCAUGACCUUCUCCGCCAUUGUCUUCACAUUGGAAAUUGAAACAUCGGCAUGUCCCAUAAUGUUAAUAGACAAUGAAGCUUCACAUCAUGCCUUCCUAAAGCCACACGGGCUGAAAUAGGGGCGCACAAGACCGAGUCCCAUUCGGUCCAGCAAUCUACAAGCGGCACCCAAAGGAGAUCUCAAGUGGAGCCUUCCAGAACUCGUUAACGACCAGAUCAAUGAGGGUCGACAUCAAGAAGAACACCGUCUUGGCAUUAGAAGAAAUCUAGGACCACCUCCAUUAUUGAAGCAAAACCAACAGCCCCCAUGCCGCCAGUCAGAACAACAGAGGAGAAGGCAACCACGACGGCACCUAUGUGAACGCACCAAUCGCUCCUACCUCGCCGCUCCAACUCGUGCCAAGCCAUGGCUAGAAUGGUCACGACAACCGGCGCCACGAUCUCCCGGCGGCAACCGAAGAGCAGCGGUGAUGCCACGACCUAGGGUUUCUGAAAGAUCCCCCAAAUCCACGCACCUCCGCCACCAGAUCGUUGCCACGAGGACCUCCUGCGACGAACCUGAGCUCAGGAUCCCGUGCAUCGCUCCUAGGCGCCACCACAAGGAGCCGCCUCCAUACCCAUCAUCCCGACGGAGGGGGUUCCAUCACUGCCAUGUUCGGAGCCGCCGCUCUGAAAGAAAUAUGCCCUAGAGGCAAUAAUAAAGUUGUUAUUUAUAUUUCCUAUAUCAUGAUAAAUGUCUAUUAUUCAUGCUAGAAUUGUAUUAAUCGGAAACUUAGUACAUGUGUGGAUACAUAGACAAACAGAGUGUCCCUAGUAUGCCUCUACUUGACUAGCUCGUUAAUCAAAGAUGGUUAAGUUUCCUAGCCAUAGACAUGUGUUAUCAUUUGAUGAACGGGAUCACAUCAUUAGAGAAUGAUGUGAUGGACAAGACCCAUCCGUUAGCUUAGCAUAAUGAUCGUUUAGUUUUUCUGCUAUUGCUUUCUUCAUGACUUAUACAUGUUCCUCAGACUAUGAGAUUAUGCAACUCCCGAAUACCGGAGGAACACCUUGUGUGCUAUCAAACGUCGCAAUGUAACUGGGUGAUUAUAAAGGUGAUCUACAGGUGUCUCCGAUGGUGUUUGUUGAGUUGGCAUAGAUCAAGAUUAGGAUUUGUCACUCCGUGUAUCGGAGAGGUAUCUCUGGGCCCUCUCGGUAAUGCACAUCACUAUGAUCCUUGCCAGCAAUGUGUCUAAUGAGUUAGCCACGGGAUGAUGCAUUAUGGAACGAGUAAAAAGACUUGCCGGUGACGAGAUUGAACUAGGUAUGAUGAUACCGACGAUCGAAUCUCGGGCAAGUAACAUACCGAUGACAAAGGGAACAAUGUAUGUUGUUAUGCGGUUUGACCGAUAAAGAUCUUCAUAGAACAUGUAGGAACCAAUAUGAGCAUCCAGGUUCCGCUAUUGGUUAUUGAUCGGAGAUAUGUCCCGGUCAUGUCUACAUAGUUCUCGAACCCGUAGGGUCCGCACGCUUAAUGUUUGAUGAUAAUUUGUAUUAUGAGUUUCGUGUUUUGAUGAACUGAAGUUUGUUCGGAGUCCCGGAUGAGACCACAGACAUGACGAGGAGUCUCGAAAUGANNNNNNNNNNNNNNNNNNNNNNNNNNNNNNNNNNNNNNNNNNNNNNNNNNNNNNNNNNNNNNNNNNNNNNNNNNNNNNNNNNNNNNNNNNNNNNNNNNNNNNNNNNNNNNNNNNNNNNNNNNNNNNNNNNNNNNNNNNNNNNNNNNNNNNNNNNNNNNNNNNNNNNNNNNNNNNNNNNNNNNNNNNNNNNNNNNNNNNNNNNNNNNNNNNNNNNNNNNNNNNNNNNNNNNNNNNNNNNNNNNNNNNNNNNNNNNNNNNNNNNNNNNNNNNNNNNNNNNNNNNNNNNNNNNNCCUAGUGGAAGAGAGGAGGUGGCGGCCAGGUGGAGGCGUGCGCCCCCCCAAGCCCAAUCCAAAUUGGGUUAGGGUUGGGGGGCCCCUUUCCUUCUCUCCUUUUCCUCUUUCCCCCCUUUUCCUUGUAGGAAUAGGGAAGGGGGGCGAAUCCUACUUGGAUCGGGAGUCCAAGUAGGACCCCCCUUGGCGCGCCACACCUAUGGCCGGCCUCCUCUCCUUCCCCCUUUAUAUACGUGGGGAGGGGGCACCCCAAAGACACACAAGUUGAUCUUUUUGCCGUGUGUAGUGCCCCCCUCCACAGUUACACACCUCGGUCAUAUCAUUGUAGUGCUUAGGCGAAGCCCUGCGUCAGUAACUUCAUCAUCACCGUCACCACGCCGUCGUGCUGACGGAACUCUCCCUCGGCCUCAACUGGAUCAAGAGUUCGAGAGACGUCAUCGAGCUGAAUGUGUGCUGAUCGUCGAGGUGUCGUGCGUUCGGUACUUGGAUCGGUUGGAUCGCGAAGAUGUUCGACUACAUCAACCGCGUUACUAAACGCUUCCGCUUUCGGUCUACGAGGGUACGUAGACACACUCUCCCCGUCUCGUUGCUAUGCAUCUUCUAGAUAGAUCUUGCGUGAUCGUAGGUAAUUUUUUUGAAAUACUGCGCUCCCCAACACGCUCCGGGACCCUCGGGCAACAGAUCGGACGACGCCCCUAUCGAAACCGCCCUCCAAGCCGCGCCGCGCUGCCAGAAGAAGUACUUGAAGGAAGAGGUUGUGCAACCGAUCUGAUCCGCCGCCAUGCGUUGGCCCUCCNNNNNNNNNNNNNNNNNNNNNNNNNNNNNNNNNNNNNNNNNNNNNNNNNNNNNNNNNNNNNNNNNNNNNNNNNNNNNNNNNNNNNNNNNNNNNNNNNNNNNNNNNNNNNNNNNNNNNNNNNNNNNNNNNNNNNNNNNNNNNNNNNNNNNNNNNNNNNNNNNNNNNNNNNNNNNNNNNNNNNNNNNNNNNNNNNNNNNNNNNNNNNNNNNNNNNNNNNNNNNNNNNNNNNNNNNNNNNNNNNNNNNNNNNGACGCGGGGAGCGUUCCUUUCUUUCUAUGUGAGGUACCUAGAAUAAUUAGCUUAUAUUUCUUUUCUUUUCUGCAACAAUCUUAUGUUUUAUGGUUUUCUUGUCUAUAUAUUUCUUGGGGACAACCAAACAUUAAAUACGUCAGUAUGAGCAGCACUGGAGGUGAAUUGAGGGGCGGAAGAAAAAAAUGAGUUAUGGGUUCUUCAGUUCACAUUGUGUAGCUUCUGUAAAUAGUGCUCACCUGUAAAUUGUGACUUGGCUGUCCAGGCAUUUCUCUUAAUUUAAUGCAAUCUUCAGUGCAUAUUGCAUUCCUUGUGUACAUACUAAAUUUAUAUUGCCAUUUUCAACAGUUUUCAUACUGAAUUGAGAUCACUGGUUUUCUUCAGAUUAGCAAUCAUAAUUUUCUUCAUAUGCACUGAAUAUAUAUAGAUUUCUAAAACAAUUAAAAUCAAGGCACGCUGUUUCGUCCGGUGUUUCUCUGUGGUCAUAUUUUAUUUUACCACUGAUAGUUCAACAUUUUUUUUGCGGGGAGUUCAACAUUCUUUCUACUCCAAUUCUCCUCCUUUCAUAAUGUCGAAGUGAACGCUUGCAUAGUUAUUCGAUCAAAAGUAGAAAAAAAAACAAAUUUAAGUUCAGAAACACGACGAUACGCAAAUGAAAGCAACAAAACAGACCAUGCAAAGAACGGUCUUUCGAGAAAAUAGUUUCCAAUAAAUACGACGGGGCUUUGUUGGUCCUUUAGGCUUAAGCCUUUUUUGGUUCAUAGGGUAAGAAAAUUAUAAGAAUAGAAAAAUCAUAGGAAAUGAGAUGACAUGCAUUUUAAAUCCUUUUUUUUGAGCAUCAGUACAGACACAAGUGUUCAUAUACACGCGCAUACACUCACCCCUAUGAACGCACGCACGCACAUCCUAUCCUUAUGAGCACCUCCGAGAGACUGAGCCGGCAUAUCAUCGUGGAUGAAUACUUGCUGUUUUCUAGAUUUUUGAAGUCACCGUAGGCGCCUCGUCGUCGACGGAAACGUCUCCUUUCAUUAAAAGUGCUUCGCCGGAAAUCCUGAAAUAAAUCCAGGAAUACUGCGAGCACCAGGAUUUGAACCCUGGUGGGUUGGGGAUACCACUGUCCACCUAACCAACUCAACCACAGGGUUGGGGACAUGCACCUCAAAUCCUAUGAGUAGGAAUAAGAAAGGAGAUAUUAUUUGUUUCAUAUCAUAGGAUUUCUUUUUAUUAAAUUUAGGCUAAUGUUUAUUUUUCUAUGAAAUGUGAAGGAUAGGAAGAUUUUCUUGAUAGGAAUAGGAUUCGAUUCCUACAAACCAAAGAGCUAUAUAGGAAUUUUUUCUAUAAAAAUCUUAUCAUAUGAAGGCCUCAAUUUGCUGUUCAUAAUUUUUUUAUAAUCCUGAGUGAAAAACUAGUUGCAAGAAUAGAUAAAAGCUGAUUAACCAACAAUAUACAUAACUAAAAUUGAACUGCAGAGCUUCUCCCCUCUCGAAGAUUUCUAACAAAGAAAACAACAGGCGCAAGAAAAGUCGAUUGUAAGCUGAACCGGUUCGAUCAACUCUGCCUGUUCGUGUCUCGGAGAGGAAGGCUUGUUAACUAUCAGGCCAACCCCCUCAGACGAUCAAUGAGCUCCCCUUUCUUCAGCUUGGAGUAGCCUCUCAUCCCCCUCACCCUCGCCAUGUCCCUCAGCUCGGGCACCUUCAUGUCCUCCAAAUUUGGCUGCCCGUCUUGGUGCAGUCCCUCUGGAAGCACAAGCAACGCGAUGAUGGUUCAGAACAAAGGAAACAUAAUUAUUUUCAUCCUGAUGCUGUCAAGUUACCGUGUGGUUGCAGCUUCAUGCCGGCCUCUUGGAGCGUGCCAGCCGGCGACGACGGCUUCCUCGUCCUCCCGGGCGCCUUGGGCGAGUCCCUGGUAAUGGCGGCCUGGAUGCCGCUGAAGAACUCUAUGAGCUCUUCUUUGCUGUGCUUCUUGACCGCCAUUCUUGAAGGCGGAUACCCGUUGGCUUCGGAUCUGACCGUCAGGGAAGAUGAGCAGGGCAGAGAACCCCGCAGUGGAGCGCGAUGGAGAGCAAAAUCUGCAGAUGCCACCGAAUUCAGGGCUUCAGACUUCGCCAUAAGAUUUUUUUCGGUCAGGUUGGAAGGGAGACUGAAACUAAGAGAGGGAGCCAUGGCAGAGACUGCAAUGGUGCCUGUUUCCUAUAUAUCAUUAAAAUUGUACUAGUACAAAAUGUAUUCACCAAUGUGGCAAUGCAGGCACAAUGACUGCAAUGGUGCCUGUUUCCUAUAUAUCAUUAAACGCACUAACUAACUAACCUUGAUGAAGAUGUUCUCUAUCGAAAAGGAGAUAACUACAAUGUUUCACAAUCACCUCUUGGGAGAGCAAAUGAUCCGGGGAAGGCGGCUUUUCGCAGAGGACUGGGAGAGAUUUGGUGAUGCUGCAUGAGGAUUCCUCCCAUUUCUUCUCUCUCCUUCCUCUACCAAUGAACCGAAGCUGGCCUCCUUGCUGUUCUCCAAUGGAGUGACAGUUGCGCUCUUGUUCUGUUUGCGCUCUAUCCUCUUCCUCAGCCACACGGAGGUGGUAAAUGAUGCAGUCCAUGAAGUUUUACAUAAACACCCUCGUUAGAGAAAUGGUCUUUUUUUAGCAUCGAUGGAGUAGAAAGGACCGUAACUAACUUGUGUCAUUUUAUGAAUUUUCCGGAAUGCGAGGGAGCAAAUGGCCAAAGAAUCAACCUAAUCCAGAAAGCUAUCCAUUGCGAGACCAAACCACGCCGACAGCGCCAAUUUCGCGGCAAAAUUUGAACUCCUCUGCCUCCAGCUCCCAUGGCGACGCCUCCAGCCGCCUCCAUUUCCAGCCACCCCCGAGCUCCGCAGCCAUGGCCGCCUCCCAAGAGCACCAGCCAGAGAGCGAGGGUCCGGUGUAGCGUCCUCGCACCGUCCGGCCAAGUCUUGGAGGCAGCCGCUUCUCCGAGGGACGCCGAGAAAUCGCCAAACUGGCUCCCGAGUUCCGACGUGAACCUGCAGAUUCAGAGGCUGUGUCGGUCGGGUGAGUUGGCGGAGGCUUUGAGGUUGCUCGGCUCGGCUGGGGUCGACGACCGGAGCUACGGCGCCGUCCUCCAGCUCUGCUCGCAGAUGAGGUCGUUGGAAGGUGGGAAGAGAGUUCAUUUCCUGGUUCGUGCAUCUGGCCUUGGAACAAAUGCAAUGGACAGUGUUCUCGGGCAGAAAUUGGUGCUGAUGUACUUGAAGUGUGGGGACUUGGGGAGUGCACGAAGGGUGUUUGACGAAAUGCCUCAAGUGAGCGAUGUGCGCGUUUGGACUGCUCUGAUGAGCGGUUAUGCCAAGGCUGGUGAUUUACGAGAAGGUGUGUCUCUGUUUAGUAGGAUGCACUGCUGUGGGAUUCGACCAGACGCAUACGCCAUUUCCUGCGUCUUGAAGUGCAUUGCUGGUUUGGGCAGUAUCGCGGAUGGUGAGGUGGUUCAUGGGUACCUUGAGAAGUUGGGUCUUGGCUCGCAGUGUGCGGUUGGAAAUGCAUUGAUGGCUCUGUACUCAAGGUGUGGCUGUAACGAGGAUGCUUUGCGGGUGUUUGAAGGAAUGCCUCAGCGGGAUGCUAUUUCUUGGAAUUCUGUCAUCAGUGGAUGUUUCUCAAAUGGAUGGCAUGACAGGGCUGUUGAGCAUUUUAGCGAGAUGUGGUUUGAAGGCCUGGAGAUCGAUUCAGUGACGAUGCUCAGUGUUUUGCCUGCUUGUGCUGAAUUAGGUUAUGAGCUUGUUGGAAGAGUGAUUCAUGGAUACUCUGUGAAAACUGGAUUACUCUGGGAGCUUGAGUCUCUGGAGAGAGGAGUAGAUGAAAAUCUGGGAUCCAAAUUGGUAUUCAUGUAUGUGAAAUGUGGUGAAUUAGGCUAUGCACGCAAGGUGUUUGAUGCAAUGUCAUCGAAAAGCGACAUACAUGUGUGGAAUCUACUAAUGGGUGGGUAUGCAAAGGUUGGUGAAUUUCAAGAAAGCCUAUUUCUUUUUGAGAAAAUGCAUGACAGUGGAAUUGCCCCGGAUGAGCACACCGUUUCAUGCCUUGUGAAGUGCGUCACUAGUUUGUACAGUGGAAGGGAUGGCCUAGUGGUUCAUGGGUAUCUUUUGAAGUUAGGUUUUGGUGCACAGUGUGCAGUUUGCAAUGCAAUGAUAUCAUUCUAUGCGAAAUCCAACAUGACUGAAGAUGCAAUCUUGGUGUUUGAUGGAAUGCCUCAUCGAGAUGUCAUAUCCUGGAAUUCUAUCAUCAGUGGCUGCACUUUCAAUGGAUUACACAGCAAAGCUAUUGAACUAUUUGUAAGAAUGUGGUUACAAGGACAGGAGUUGGAUUCAGCCACAUUGUUAAGUGUUUUGCCUGCUUGUGCACAGUUGCACCAUUGGUUCCUAGGGAGAGUGGUUCACGGGUACUCUGUGAAAACUGGGUUGGUAAGUGAGACAUCUCUUGCUAAUGUUCUUCUCGAUAUGUACUCAAAUUGCUCAGAUUGGCGUAGCACCAAUAAGAUAUUCAGGAACAUGGAUGAGAAAAACGUUGUCUCAUGGACAGCAAUAAUUACAAGUUAUACCAGGGCUGGUCUUUUUGACAAAGUGGCUGGGUUAUUGCAAGAAAUGGCACUAGAUGGUAUCAGACCAGAUACCUUUGCAAUUACCAGUGCUCUUCAUGCUUUUGCUGGUAAUGAAUCGCUGAAAGAUGGCAAAUCUGUCCAUGGAUAUGCCAUCAGAAAUGGAAUGGAGAAAGUUAUUCCUGUUACCAAUGCGCUGAUGGAAAUGUAUGCGAAAUGCGGAAAUAUGGAGGAAGCAAGGUUGAUUUUUGAUGGCGUGACGAGUAAGGAUAUGAUAUCAUGGAAUACGCUGAUAGGAGGUUACUCCAGGAAUAAUCUAGCCAAUGAGGCUUUCAGUUUGUUCACUGAAAUGCUGCCCCAGUUCAGACCUAAUGCCGUGACCAUGACCUGCAUCUUUCCUGCCGCGGCAAGCCUUUCAUCCCUGGAGCGGGGCAGAGAGAUGCACACCUACGCCUUACGAAGAGGGUACUUGGAAGACGAAUUCGUAGCCAACGCCCUCAUGGACAUGUAUGUUAAGUGUGGUGCAUUGCUGCUAGCUCAACGGCUGUUUGACAGGUUGAGCAACAAGAACCUCAUCUCAUGGACCAUCAUGGUAGCGGGAUAUGGCAUGCAUGGCCGUGGCAGGGAUGCCAUUGCGCUCUUUGAGCAGAUGAGGGCAAGUGGCAUUGAGCCGGAUGCAGCCUCUUUAAGUGCCAUACUGUAUGCCUGCAGCCAUUCAGGCCUGAGAGACGAGGGAUGGAGGUUCUUCGAUGCGAUGCGUCGUGAACACAAAAUAGAGCCCAGGCUGAAGCACUACACCUGCAUGGUUGACCUACUAACCAACACCGGAAAUUUGAGGGAAGCUUACGAGUUCAUCGAUUCGAUGCCGAUCGAGCCAGAUUCAAGUAUAUGGGUCUCAUUGCUGAAUGGAUGCAGAAUUCACAGGGAUAUCAGGCUUGCAGAGGAGGUAGCAGAGAGGGUCUUUGAACUGGAACCUGAAAACACCGGGUACUACGUUCUUCUUGCCAACAUAUAUGCUGAGGCUGAGAGAUGGGGGGCUGUAAGGAAGCUGAGGAACAAGAUCGGCGGCGGGGGGCUCCGGGAGAAAACUGGCUGCAGCUGGAUUGAGGCCAGGGGCAGGGUUCAGGUCUUCGUCGCAGGCAACCGGAGUCAUCCACAGGGGACAAGGAUUGCGGAGUUCCUGGAUGAAGUUGCCAGAAGAAUGCAGGAAGAAGGCCAUGAUCCGAAGAAGAGAUAUGCUCUGAUGGGCGCCGACGACGCGGUGAACGGCGAGGCACUCUGUGGCCACAGCUCAAAGCUCGCCGUCGCGUUCGGGGUGCUGAAUCUGUCGGAAGGGCGUCCGAUCCGCGUGACGAAGAACUCGAGGGUUUGCACUCACUGCCACGAGGCUGCCAAGUUCAUAUCCAAGAUGUGCAGCAGAGACAUCAUAUUGAGGGAUUCGAACAGGUUCCAUCAUUUUGAACAGGGCAGGUGCUCUUGCAGAGGUUACUGGUAGCAAAACAACUGCUGUGUAACAUGUGUUGCAUUUCAUUUACAGAUGAGGUGUUCUUGUAGUACUAUCAUUGUACCAUGCUGAUUCCCUUGUUACAGUACGAAGAGGUUGCCUGUCACAUUCACAACGUUGGGGGAAAAUGACUUUGUAAGAAACAUCAGUUACAGCUCUACAAAAUCAGAAGGAAACCAAAAGAUUUAAGCACAUUUCUCUAUCUUCGAUGAACUACCUACACAAACCCAAUCGUUCUAUACCGAAACCAUAAAUAUAUAAUGCCACGCAACAAAGACAUACAUGUCUAUUCUAGCAGCACAUCAGAGCACAAGAUUUCAGUACCACAUGACUUGUCUCAUUACAAACAAGAGUUUCUGCAGGGCUCUAGAGUCCCAUAUAAUGAUAUCCCAAAAGAAGAACCAACUGCUUGUCAUUUCACUAGGACUAGUUGCAGUUGGAUUGGGUUCAUGAGUCAGGGCCAACAUGCUGUGUUAUAACCCAGGAAACUGUCCAUAAGGUGACACCGCACAUUUCUCCAUCUAU